UGGCUCGGUUUCCUGGAAGGUGGACUCAGUCUGCUCCACCUCCCCUCAGACGAGCCUAGAGCAAAGAGGCUAGGUCUCCUUCCCUAUGGGAAAGGCGGUUAAGAAAGGAGCCUCACUGGGGCAGUCCUUGCCUUACAUUU